AUUGAACGCUGGCGGCAGGCCUAACACAUGCAAGUCGAGCGAGCGGCGGACGGGUGAGUAAUGUCUGGGAAACUGCCUGAGGGAAGGGGGUAACUACUGGAAAAGGUAGCUAAUACCGCAUACCAUCAGAGAGACCCAGAGGGGAUUAGCUAGGAGGUUGGGUAACGGCUCACCUAGGGGACGAACCCUAGCUGGUCUGAGAGGAUGACCAGCACCACUGGAUCUGAGACACGGUCCAGACUCCUACGGGAGGCAGCAGUGGGGAAUCUUGCACAAGUGGCGCAAGCCGGAUGCAGCCAUGCCGCGUGUGUGAAGUAGGCCUUCGGGUUGUAAAGCACGUUCAGCGGGGAGGCGUUACCCGCAGAAGAAGCACCGGCUAACUCCGUGCCAGCAGCCGCGGUAAUUC
rnacentral:rRNA from 1 species